UGCGUUGAGGCGCAGCAGUUGACUGGACAUCUAGGGGUAAAGCACUGUUUCGGUGCGGGCUGCGCGAGCGGUACCAAAUCGAGGCAAACUCUGAAUACUAGAUAUGACCCAAAAAUAACAGGGGUCAAGGUCGGCCAGUGAGACGAUGGGGGAUAAGCUUCAUCGUCGAGAGGGAAACAGCCC
rnacentral:ncRNA from 1 species